rnacentral:rRNA from 1 species
UACAGAGGGGGCAAGCGUUGUUCGGAAUUACUGGGCGUAAAGGGCGCGUAGGCGGCCCGCUAAGUCGAACGUGGAAUCCCCGAGCUCAACUCGGGAACUGCGUCCGAUACUGGUGGGCUUGAAUCCGGGAGAGGGAUGCGGAAUUCCAGGUGUAGCGGUGAAAUGCGUAGAUAUCUGGAGGAACACCGGUGGCGAAGGCGGCAUCCUGGACCGGCAUUGACGCUGAGGCGCGAAAGCUAGGGGAGCAAACGGG